rnacentral:tRNA from 1 species
GCACCCGUAGCUCAACUGGAUAGAGCGUUCGGCUACGGACCGAAAGGUUGUGGGUUCGAAUCCUACCGGGUGUG